rnacentral:rRNA from 1 species
GACGAACGCUGGCGGCGUGCUUAACACAUGCAAGUCGAACGGAAAGGCCCUGCUUUUGUGGGGUUCUCGGUGGCGGAAGGGGGGAGGAAAACGUGGGUAACCGGCCCUUAAUUUUGGGGGAACUUCAGGAAAGGGGGGUUAAUACCGGAUAGAAGCCCCUGCACCGGGGGGGGGGUUGGAAAGUUUCGGCGGUUGGGGCUGGACUCGCGGCUUACCAGCUUGUUGGUGGGGUAGGGGCUGACCAAGGCUUGGGCGGGUACCCGGCCUGGGAGGGUGACCAGCCACAUUGGGACUGCGAUACGGACCAGACGCCUACGGUAGGCAGAGGGGGGGAACAUUGCACAGUGGUCCGAAGCCUGAUGCGGCGGCCCCGCGUUCGUGAUGCCGGCCUUCGGGUUGUAAACCGCUUUCGCCUGUGACGAAGCGUUAGUGACGGUACUGGGUAAAGAAGCACCGGCUAACUACGUG